rnacentral:rRNA from 1 species
CUGGUGCCAGCAGCCGCGGUAAUUCAGCUCCAAUAGCGUAUAUUAAAGUUGUUGACAGUUAAAAGCUCGUAGUUGAAUUUCGGGACUAAUAUGUCGGUCGUACUUUGUACGUACUAGCAUUAUUGGUUUCUCCCUUCUGACGAACCACGAUGUCAUUAAUUUGGUGUCAUGGGAAAUCAGGACUGUUACUUUGAAAAAAUUAGAGUGUUUAAAGCAAGCUCGCGCUUGAAUACAUUAGCAUGGAAUAAUGAAAUAGGACGUUUGAUUCUAUUUUGUUGGUUUCUAGGAUCGACGUAAUGAUUAAUAGGGAUAGUUGGGGGCAUUAGUAUUCAAUUGUCAGAGGUGAAAUUCUUGGAUUUAUUGAAGACUAACUACUGCGAAAGCAUUUGCCAAGGAUGUUUUCAUUAAUCAAGAACGAAAGUUAGGGGAUCGAAGACGAUCAGAUACCGUCGUAGUCUUAACCAUAAACUAUGCCGACUAGGGGAUCGGAUGAUGUUAAUUUUUUAAUGACUCAUUCGGCGCCUUACG